UACGUAGGGUGCAAGCGUUGUCCGGAAUCAUUGGGCGUAAAGGGUGUGUAGGUGGCAGUGUUAGUCGAUUGUUAAAACCUGGGGCUUAACCCCAGAUGUGCGAUCGAAACGGCACAGCUAGAGGAUGCGAGGGAUGUAUAGAACUCAUGGAGUAGGGGUGAAAUCCGUUGAUAUCAUGGGGAAUACCAAAAGCGAAAGCAGUACAUUGGCGCACUCCUGACACUGAAACACGAAAGCGUGGGUAGCGAAUGGG
rnacentral:rRNA from 1 species